GACGAACGCUGGCGGCGUGCCUAAUACAUGCAAGUAGAACGCACAGUUUAUACCGUAGCUUGCUACACCAUAAACUGUGAGUUGCGAACGGGUGAGUAACGCGUAGGUAACCUGCCUGGUAGCGGGGGAUAACUAUUGGAAACGAUAGCUAAUACCGCAUAAUAUUGAUUAUUGCAUGAUAAUUGAUUGAAAGAUGCUAUUGCAUCACUACCAGAUGGACCUGCGUUGUAUUAGCUAGUAGGUGAGGUAACGGCUCACCUAGGCGAGGAUACAUAGCCGACCUGAGAGGGUGAUCGGCCACACUGGGACUGAGACACGGCCCAGACUCCUACGGGAGGCAGCAGUAGGGAAUCUUCGGCAAUGGACGAAAGUCUGACCGAGCAACGCCGCGUGAGUGAAGAAGGUUUUCGGAUCGUAAAGCUCUGUUGUAAGAGAAGAACGGGUGUGAGAGUGGAAAGUUCACACUGUGACGGUAUCUUACCAGAAAGGGACGGCUAACUACGUG
rnacentral:rRNA from 1 species